UACGAAGGGUGCUAGCGUUGUUCGGAUUUACUGGGCGUAAAGCGCACGUAGGCGGAUCUUUAAGUCAGAGGUGAAAUCCCAAGGCUCAACCUCGGAACUGCCUUUGAUACUGGGGAUCUUGAGUCCGGGAGAGGUGAGUGGAACUGCGAGUGUAGAGGUGAAAUUCGUAGAUAUUCGCAAGAACACCAGUGGCGAAGGCGGCUCACUGGCCCGGUACUGACGCUGAGGUGCGAAAGCGUGGGGAGCAAACAGG
rnacentral:rRNA from 1 species